AUAUCAAUAAGCGGAGGAAAAGAAACCAACAGGGAUUGCCCUAGUAACGGCGAGUGAAGCGGCAACAGCUCAAAUUUGAAAUCUGGCCUCGGCCCGAGUUGUAAUUUGCAGAGGAUGCUUUUGGUGAAGCGCUUACCGAGUCCCCUGGAACGGGGCGCCACAGAGGGUGAGAGCCCCGUAUGGUUGACGCCGAACCUCUGUAAAGCUCCUUCGACGAGUCGAGUAGUUUGGGAAUGCUGCUCUAAAUGGGAGGUAAAUUUCUUCUAAAGCUAAAUACCGGCCAGAGACCGAUAGCGCACAAGUAGAGUGAUCGAAAGAUGAAAAGCACUUUGAAAAGAGGGUUAAACAGCAC
rnacentral:rRNA from 1 species